AUCCUCCCUCCCAGACCCUCCCACCUCCUGGACAGCUCACUAAGAAUGCAGCUUCAAAAUGGAUGCUGUCCAGGAGGUGGGAGGGUCUGGGAGGGAGGGU
rnacentral:miRNA from 1 species